AGAAGUUCAGAAUCCCUGGUUUCCAUCCCCUAACUGGGGAUGGCAGCUGACCCUCUGCCUGGUGGCAGCCUUUCCUUUUGAUUGUUUAGAAGUAAAAAUCAUACUUGGGAACCAGGCACGUUUGUGCCCUAGCUCUGACAUCUAUCUAUGACAGAGGAAAUGUGGUGUAAUGGAAAGAGUCCUGAACUCAUAGGCUCCAGGCAAGUCACUUCAUUUCCCUGACCUCUGUUUCCUUAUCUAUAAAAUGAAGUUAAACUAGAGG
rnacentral:lncRNA from 1 species